CGGGACGGGUGAGUAAUGUCUGGGAAACUGCCUGAUGGAGAGGGAUAACUACUGGAAACGGUAGCUAAUACCGCAUAACGUCGCAAGACCAAAGAGGGGGACCUUAGGGCCUCUUGCCAUCGGAUGUGCCCAGAUGGGAUUAGCUUGUUGGUGGGGUAACGGCUCACCAAGGCGACGAUCCCUAGCUGGUCUGAGAGGAUGACCAGCCACACUGGAACUGAGACACGGUCCAG
rnacentral:rRNA from 1 species